rnacentral:lncRNA from 1 species
UGAGGUGUUAACCAUCUGCUUCUUCUUCUUCUUCUUCUUCCUCCUCCUCUGGAUGGCUGUCUCCCUGGCACAUGUUGGCCUUGGUGGUUUCACCUUUCAGGUUUGAAGCGCACAGGCAAGAGCUGCCGUCUCCGGUGGGUGAACUACCUCCACCCCGGCCUCAAGCGCGGCCGCAUCACCGCCGACGAGGAGCGCCUCAUCCUCCACCUCCACUCCCAGUGGGGCAGCCGCUGGUCCCGCAUCGCCCGCAGCCUCCCCGGCCGCACCGACAACGAGAUCAAGAACUUCUGGCGAACCCACAUGCGCAAGAUCGCCCACCACGCCAAGAAGAAGACCAAUUCACCAUCGCCGGCGCC